rnacentral:rRNA from 1 species
AUUGAACGCUGGCGGCAGGCUUAACACAUGCAAGUCGAGCGGAGAUGAGGUGCUUGCACCUUAUCUUAGCGGCGGACGGGUGAGUAAUGCUUAGGAAUCUGCCUAUUAGUGGGGGACAACAUUCCGAAAGGGAUGCUAAUACCGCAUACGUCCUACGGGAGAAAGCAGGGGAUCUUCGGACCUUGCGCUAAUAGAUGAGCCUAAGUCGGAUUAGCUAGUUGGUGGGGUAAAGGCCUACCAAGGCGACGAUCUGUAGCGGGUCUGAGAGGAUGAUCGGCCACACUGGGACUGAGACACGGCCCAGACUCCUACGGGAGGCAGCAGUGGGGAAUAUUGGACAAUGGGGGGAACCCUGAUCCAGCCAUGCCGCGUGUGUGAAGAAGGCCUUAUGGUUGUAAAGCACUUUAAGCGAGGAGGAGGCUACUUAGAUUAAAACUCUAGGAUAGUGGACGUUACUCGCAGAAUAAGCACCGGCUAACUCUGUGCCAGCAGCCGCGGUAAAAC